UGGUGUAUGUGCUUGGCUGAGGAGCCAAUGAGACGAAGUUACCAUCUGUGGGAUUCUGACUGAACACCUCUAAGUCAGAAUCCUGCCCAGGUGGAACAAUACGGCAAUGCCAAGGAGCCUUGGUUGGCCUC
rnacentral:rRNA from 1 species